GCGAGUCGAAUGUAGCAAUACAUGGCGAACUGCUCAGUAACACGUGGACAACCUGCCCUUAGGACGGGGAUAAACCCGGGAAACUGGGUAUAAUACCCGAUAGGUCUCGAUUGCUGGAAUGCAUCGAGAUUUAAAGCUCCGGCGCCUAAGGAUGGGUCUGCGGCCUAUCAGGUAGUAGUGGGUGUAGCGUACCUACUAGCCUACGACGGGUACGGGUUGUGAGAGCAAGAGCCCGGAGAUGGAUUCUGAGACACGAAUCCAGGCCCUACGGGGUGCAGCAGGCGCGAAAACUUUACAAUGCUGGCAACAGCGAUAAGGGAACCUCGAGUGCCAGGUUACAAAUCUGGCUGCCGAGAUGCCUAAAAAGCAUUUCAUAGCAAGGGCCGGGCAAGACCGGUGCCAGCCGCCGCGGUAACACCGGCGGCUCGAGUGGUAACCGUUAUUAUUGGGUCUAAAGGGUCUGUAGCCGGCCGGAUAAGUCUCUUGAGAAAUCUGGCAGCUUAACUGUCAGGCUUUCAGGAGAUACUGUCUGGCUCGAGGCCGGGAGAGGUGAGAGGUACUUCAGGGGUAGGGGUGAAAUCUUGUAAUCCUUGAAGGACCACCAGUGGCGAAGGCGUCUCACCAGAACGGACCUGACGGCAAGGGACGAAAGCUAGGGGCACGAACCGGAUUAGAUACCCGGGUAGUCCUAGCCGUAAACGAUACUCGCUAGGUGUCGGCCACGGUGCGACCGUUGUCGGUGCCGUAGGGAAGCCGUGAAGCGAGCCACCUGGGAAGUACGGCCGCAAGGCUGAAACUUAAAGGAAUUGGCGGGGGAGCACCACAACGGGUGGAGC
rnacentral:rRNA from 1 species